rnacentral:sRNA from 1 species
UAUUCUGCCCCACGGGGAAGGAUGAGAAGGUUCGACUCGAGCGAAGCGAGAGAACGUUGCCGCUGGCAAUGGCCCGAAGGCGAGGCGCUUUAGCGCCGAGUAAUUCUUCCCCCACCACUG